AAAUUGUCUAGGAGAAUCCAGGCAUGAAGUAGAAAAAUCAGAAAUCAGUGAAAACACAGACACUUCGGGCAAAAUAGAGAAAUAUAAUGUUCCGCUGAACAGGCUUAAGAUGAUGUUUGAGAAAGGUGAACCAACUCAAACUAAGAUUCUCCGGGCCCAAAGCCGAAGUGCAAGUGGAAGGAAGAUCUCUGAAAACAGCUCUUCUCUAGAUGACCUGGAAAUAGGCCCAGGUCAAUUGUCAUCUUCUACAUUUGACUCGGAGAAAAAUGAGAGUAGGCGAAAUCUGGAACUUCCACGCCUCUCAGAAACCUCUAUAAAGGAUCGAAUGGCCAAGUACCAGGCAGCUGUGUCCAAACAAAGCAGCUCAACCAACUAUACAGUAUGUGUUCUGCAUCAUUCAUUCAUUCAUUCAUUCCAUCAUCCAGCAGAUGGUCACUGAGUACUGGAAUUAGGAAAUGUCACUAGACCCUUAUAUCUGAGCCCUGGUCCCCUAGCUGUUCUCUUUUCACAUGAACCCUACCCUCGCUGGAUUUGCAGUUCUUACCAUGGUCUAAUCCUGACUUUGCUUUCUUAGUCCUGGUUCCCAC
rnacentral:sRNA from 1 species